rnacentral:lncRNA from 1 species
GGUGGUACGCACGAGGUGUACUAAACUGUAAUCCUUCAAUUAUUGUACAUGUAUGCUCCUACAAGCGAUAAUCGAUAAACUCCUCCGAACUGAAUAUCGGUAAGCUCAUAUGAGCUGAGUAUUGGUAAGCUCUCAUGAGCAGCAAAUCGGUAAGCUCAUACGAGCUGUGGUGAGUCCGCAACACAUGCAGGAUCUCAACCAAAACGGUACCCCUAAUGACAUGUCAUUUGUAUCCUAC